AAUGUCAUUAAAUGUUUAAUAGAAGCCUCCUUUCGUGGUGUAGCUUUAAAUCGGGUGCUAAUCAUGCUGCUCUCAAAAGCACCACAGGUAAUCCUAUAGUAUCAUAAGGGGUCUGAGACUGUCGCCCAUUAACCUGCAUUUAGAAGUGGGAUCUAUAAUCUCUCAGUGAAAUUUGUGUAAAGGGAGCAGCUAUCAGGGCCUGCAUCCAUCUGAAUAACUCGCUCAAUGGUACAACACCGGAACCUGGCGGGAACCACCUACAUUCCAACACAGAACAACAAGAGCUACUCCUUCUGCACAAAUAAAGAGUGACACAGGCAAACAUUUCAAACAGUCAUUACUUACCCAAUCUAUCCUGAAUCUAUAAGAAAAUAUACCAAGAAUAUUGGCCUCUAUAUGCAAUUAUAGUGUAAUUAUACUGUUAUGUGGUCAUUAAGAACAUUUUCCAUUUAACAGUACAAUUAACUGCUCUGGUGUUCUAUCGAUAUAUUUCCCCUCCAAGGAAAUGUUUUCCAAAAUGCUGAAGCACCAUUUGUCAUUUUUAGCUUCUCAUGUCCCAUUCUAUAGGUCCGAGGAGGAUCAGGACACAUCAAAAAUGAUAAGGACACUCAAAAAUUGUACAAUGAAGAAAGCUCACAGACACAAAUUAAAAAAAAAAGAAAAUUGUACUAUUGCUAAACCCAGAUGAAGACUGAGACAGCAUUUAUUUUGUGGUGACAUCAGUAGUUGUUUAGUCUUUUCAGGGACAUUGCAUUAAAAUUUGUUAUCACCAAGGAAACAUUUUCACAUAGAUGACCACACCUCUCACCUACCUAUACCUGACCAAUUGCAGCUGCAAGACGUGAAGCCAUAUUUAAAUGCUUAACGCAUGGUCCCACUGUCCCACUGUUCCUUAUGACUCCUCUUCUCUGAGGGGGACUACUCUUUGGUUUUAUGGUACUGCUGUAACCAUUGGAUGUAACUAGUGUCUCUUUGCAGUACAGCUCGGGUACAGGUCGGGUACAGCUCGGGUACAAGUCGACUCCUGCAUGCCAGUGGAAAAACACCAUAAUAAUAGCUUAUCUGCAAUGGAAGCGACAUCAGAAGAGAGAGAGAAACAUAGGAGGGGUGUAGAAGAGAAGGAUGUCAGGGGAUAAAGGAACGGGGAAGGACAGCAUCAUGGAGAGUGAUCUAGCCACAAAUUCCCAAAGGGCUGCAGCCAGAGGACAGAACACGUGAAGAAAGGUGGAAGGGACUUGAAGGGGACAGAGAUGACAGGGUGUGUCAGGCUCCAAACCCACGAGGAGGCGUUUCCUGGGAGUGGCUAAAGGGGACAGAGACGACAGAGUGUGUCAGGCUCCAAACCCACGAGGAGGCGUUUCCUGGGAGUGAGUGAAGGGGACAGAGACGACAGAGUGUGUCAGGCUCCAAACCCACGAGGAGGCGUUUCCUGGGAGUAGAUGAAGGGGACAGAGAUGACAGAGUGUGUCAGGCUCCAAACCCACGAGGAGGCGUUUCCUAGGAGUGGGUGAAGGGGACAGAGACGACAGAGUGUGUCAGGCUCCAAACCCACGAGGAGGCGUUUCCUGGGAGUAGAUGAAGGGGACAGAGAUGACAGAGUGUGUCAGGCUCCAAACCCACGAGGAGGCGUUUCCUAGGAGUGGGUGAAGGGGACAGAGACGACAGAGUGUGUCAGGCUCCAAACCCACGAGGAGGCGUUUCCUGGGAGUGGGUGAAGGGGACAGAGACGACAGAGUGUGUCAGGUUCCAAACCCACGAGAAGGCGUUUCCUGGGAGUGGCUGAAGGGGACAGAGAUGACAGAGUGUGUCAGGCUCCAAACCCACGAGGAGGCGUUUCCUAGGAGUGGGUGAAGGGGACAGAGACGAAAGAGUGUGUCAGGCUCCAAACCCACGAGGAGGCGUUUCCUAGGAGUGGGUGAAGGGGACAGAGACGACAGAGUGUGUCAGGCUCCAAACCCACGAGGAGGCGUUUCCUGGGAGUAGAUGAAGGGGACAGAGACGACAGAGUGUGUCAGGCUCCAAACCCACGAGGAGGCGUUUCCUAGGAGUGGGUGAAGGGGACAGAGACGACAGAGUGUGUCAGGCUCCAAACCCACGAGGAGGCGUUUCCUAGGAGUGGGUGAAGGGGACAGAGACGACAGAGUGUGUCAGGCUCCAAACCCUCGAGGAGGCGUUUCCUAGGAGUGGGUGAAAGGGACAGAGACGACAGAGUGUGUCAGGUUCCAAACCCACGAGGAGGCGUUUCCUAGGAGUGGGGUACAGUCUAUGGAUGAUUAUUAAUUGGGCCUUCUGGUGACUGGGAUUUUUGGAGUGUUUAAUAUUUUGAAAAAUGACAUUCCACGAUACCAUCGGUGUUGGGGAGUGUAAGAUCUCUCUUUUGUUACUCUCCUACCAUUUGGCCCGUUCUCCAGUUUCUGCUCUUGUUUAGCAUCCUGAUUCCUCUUUGCUGAUCACCUGACCUGCUUCACUUCCAUAACCCCAUCAGUAGCAGCCAUUGUAACUCGACCCUUAAGUCUGUCUAAGCCCUCCUGAGCUGCCUUAGGCCUGCAGCCCUGAAUGCUUGUGAUGUCGCAAUGCUGUGUAGCUGCUGCUCCUAUUCUGCUCACACUUGUACCUGGGCAUUCAUCAGAAGCUCAGCUUAGCCGCACUUAUGCCUGCUUGACUCCUCAGUGUUUCUAAUGUGCAAUUUGCCUCAGUUGUACAUCACUUUGGACCCUGAAGUUCAUCUUCUGAACAGGCCUGACGUGCAGAGCAGCAGCCACGUCACCGUGUGCAGCUUGGCCUGUGACCCUUCGUUUGUCUUUGCCUUUGCAGUUUUGCUGUGCUCUGCACCUUCUUAAUAAAGUUAUGUAUUCUUUGAGUAUUAGACUCAUUGUCAUGACAGGCAGAAAGUUAUGAAUUUCAAAUAAGCAGCAUUUUAGUGUUGAACAAUACCAAUAAUAUCGGAGCUGACAAACAGCACUAAUGCUAAGAAGGCCUGAGCCACACUAGGAAAAGCCGAUAAAGAAACACUACAAUUUGAAUAAUUCUGUUUGCUUGCAAUGAGUUUGAUGGUCUUUGCAGAGGAGUUCACUGUCGCACCGGGUGUUAGGGCUCCGCAUAAAUCCCUGCUGCACUAAUUAUGAUUCCCAAAGGCAUCUGACUAAUAAUUGGAAAGCCUACAGGCAUCCAGGAUGUGGUACUGACAGUGCUCUUCCAGGGUUUCCUAAAGUGAGAGGCUGCCUCUGACAUUAAUAAUGCAUUUACUGUCCAAAUGGUUCAGGCCGUAUCAACCGAUGCCCAGCGGAUUUUCCUAUGCAAAUCUGGCUAUGGCUGAUGGGAUAUUAUUAAUAGAGUCACGUGCUCUUUGUAUGUGUGAAAUAUGAACCUAAAAAACAAAUAUUGUUAUUUAUUUAUAACAAGAAUAUAUGUUCCAUGAUUGGCUAGUCUGAAGUGUUGUCAUGGAAACUGACCAAGAAUCACUGCAAUUGUGAUGAAAAACAGAUAUGACCAGGGCCUCCCAUAUAUAAGCUGGGAUAUUCUGUUCCAGUCCCAUAUAAAGACUGGAGCAUCCCGUUUCUGUCCUAUAUAAAGGCUGGGAUAUCCUGUUCCAGUCCCAUAUAAAGACUGGAGCAUCCCGUUUCUG